ensembl:lincRNA
GACUCCUUCAGGCUGUGCUGCGCUUGGGUGCUUGCCUCCAGCUGAUCUUCUGCCUGCACGCCAGGCUCUGGGACACUAGCUUGUGGCGCAGCUUAGGAGGACUCCGCCGCAGGGGAGUUGAGUGAGACCAGUGGACACGGAGCAUUUGCGGAGAUCCCAGCUGAGACAAGGGUGUCUGUGCAGCCAGCCCUUUGGGGAUCUCAAAAAAGAGGGCCAUGCAUUGCAAAUGAUGAGAUGGGAGAGGGUUGGGUCUAGUGAUAGGGAGUGAAGUUCAAGGCUCAAGGCAGGAGUUAUGAUGAAAAGCCCGGUUGGAGAGGGCCUCUGGGUACAAGUACCCAGGACUUGUUUUGACAGAGGUUUCACUAUGAUAGGGAGAAGCAAGACUUUUGUUUGGCUUUGAAACCCCCUUUGGUGUGAAUUUGAAUUAUACAUAAAGCUUUAAAAUGUAGGUGGGUCUGACAGACAGAAACACUCCAUAAAAAGGACCUUUUGAAGCUGAGUGUGGUGGCACUCAAGAGGCUAAGGCAGGAAGACUGCUGUGAGUUCGAUGCCAACCUGGGUUAUAUAUAGUAAAUCCCAGGUCAGCAUUGGUAACUAGACUAUUAUAUGUGUGUGAGUGAAGAGUAUGAGAUUGGGUGUUCUAAGGACCUGGAGCCCAAGAGUGGACUCUGUGUUCAUCCUUAGGUAGGCAAUCUUUCAGGCCUCAGUUUCCUCCUCUGUGGAACUGUCAUAUUCAUACAAUUAUGUAUUUACAAUAUGUAAAAUCAAAGUGUCCCACAAAUUCGUCCACCGCAUCCCAAGCUGAGAUCUAGUCACUUUGUGAGGACGUUAGAAUCAAAAAGUAUAAACCUUGACUAACAAAGGCUGGAAGAGGAGUCUAUGGCAGCACCAGGAAACCCGGACAUCCUUAGACUUGGAAAACACAAGCAGCCGAAUUACACCCCACCUAAGGAUACCGCCAGACUUCAGGGAUCACCCAAGGAGGAGCACUGGACAGGUCUCUCACCUGGUCCAUGAGGCCAUGGCUUGAGAGGAGCUCAGACAGGCUGCCCUUUCCAGCUGCAUUCUCCAAUGCCCUUCUCUCAACUCAACACACUCCCCAUCAGCAAGCCACCUUCCCAUGUGGACAUUCCUUCCUAGGAGGAAAGCGUCGACUACACGGCAUGGCAGCUUAGCACACAGAGGGCAAGCUCUCUGUGUGUUUCUUCAUGGGUGUUCUGCUCAACACGCAAGUCCCUAAUGCAUCAACCCAUACAGAACUAAACAUAAGUUUAUGGUGAUCUUCUUAUCCCCUGACAUUAAACUGUUUACACCUGGCUAUAAUCUUUCAGUAUUUUGAUUCCCACUUCAUAGACAGGCAAACUAAGGUUACAGAGAGUUAGCCUAACUCGUCCAAGAUGACCCAGCUUAAUCCACUUUAGAUGCACAUGCAAAAAAGAGACAUGGCUUGUGGGGAGACAUUCUUCAUGGCACACCCAUCCUUUGGAGGACACAGCAAAGCCGGGCCUGGAUUCCUGACGAGUGGACAUUGACACUGGUGACUUCAGGCUUCUACUCCUGGCUUUCGUUGACAGUUCCUGGAGAGGUGAUCAGAUCUAGCCUGAGAUCUAGGCUUCCUUCCUAACUGGGAUGCCUCAUGUCCAUGAGAGAAGCAGAGUUCAGGACCUCAUGUUGAAGGCCUAUCUCUAAUCACGUGACCCUCCCUUAGAGCCAUUCAGCCGUCCCAGUGCUUGGCUGUGGGGUAGCUUGAAAUGCUGUUGGUUUUGAGAUUUUUACUUUAGUUGAGAUAGGUUCUCACUCAAGUAGUCCAAGUUGACCUUGAAUUUCCAAUAUUCCCAAACCUGACCUUGAACUUCUGAUCCUCCUGCUUCUGUCUCCUGAGUGCUAGAACUACGGGCAUGGGCCAUCAUGCACAUUUUAUGCAGUGCUGGGGUUUGAACGCAGGGCUUCGUGAAUGCUAGGCAAGAAUACUAGCUAGGCAAGCCACAAUCCCGGGUCUGACACUGUUUUGUUUUGUUUUGUUUUGUUUUGUUUUAUUGAGACAGGGUUUCCCUGACUGUCUUGGCACUCAAUUUAUAGACUAGGCUGGCCUUGAACUCAGAGAUCCUCCUGCCUCUGUCUUCUGAGUGCUGGGAUUAAAGGUGUGUGCGCACCAUGCCUGUCUUUGGUUCGGAGACUCUCCUUUAUCACACAACCUCCUGAGGCAUCAGGGGUGUGGUUUCAGAAGCCUUCCCAGAUGGUCCCCACCUUGCUGUCACCCUCACAGGCAGGAGGCAGUCCUUAGAAGGAUUUGAAGUUGAGAGACUUUAGUUUUGUCUCCAUGCUGCUGAGGAGGAACUUGGCCAAUCUGGGCCUCUAUGUCUCAUCUGUCAUAUGAAGGGUUGGAUAGCCAGGUCACCGCACUUCCUGUUGUUUUGCUCAGGCCAAUCCAUUGCCUAGAAAUUCUUAACUGAUUCUUUGUCUAAUCACAUUUCCUCCUACUAUUGAAGUUUAUCUCUAAAAUCGCCCCUGGUUUCGAAAGCCCUGUUCCAGCCAUGAUGGAAACAUGACACUAGUUCUUUUUUUUGUUUGUUUGUUUGUUUUAAAUAGGAGCUCUGUCCCCUGAACACAGAUCCAUGCAUAUCCCUGCCUUCUGGGAGAGCUGGUUAGCACCCUUCUCACUAUCAAUAAGCUGUGUGUCAGGAGCUAUGCUUUGUGGCACGGACAGUGUAAUAAGCUUCGUAUUGGUAUUAACGUGUCUAAGAAGAAGGGAAGCCACUCAGCUCAGCGAGGAAGGUGAGUGUGUGCUUCUCCUCUGGCUUCUGCCACCUUCCCCUGAAGAGGCCCCACCCCCACCCCACCCCCAAGCCAGCAUUUAUGGGCACUGGAGCAGCUCCAGUGGAAGUGUCAUCAGUAUUGGGACUGCAGGGAGUCAGACCUCCCAUGCACGUCUGGUGCCUCUGAUAAGGUCCUCAUAGAAGCAGACACGCAGGCAUUUCCUUCCCAUUGUCACAUGCAUUUGCUAUUGCAAUGGGAACAUUCUUGGUCAACCGCUGUUGUCAUUGUAGUAUGUCCCAGAAACAAGUUGCUCAGAGGUACAGAAACCAGGCCAAUGAGUUGAGGCCAAUGACCCUAAGCCUAAGCCCCAUCUACAGGUCUAGCUUCUGCGCUGAGUGAUUAGAAGGCUUCAGAGGCACAAACAACUGGAUGCUCAGAGCUGAUGGGGAAGAAAAUGUGCUUCAAGUACAAAAAUUUCCUCUUCAGAAACUUUACAUCACAUUUCUUAUACAUGAUUAUUCCAUAAAACCUUGAGGUCUUUUUCUGUAAAUAUAAUAAUCUUGCAUUAUAUAGCAUAAUCUCGACCAAUAUUCUAUCCUUCUCUACUUUCUAAGAGAAUGCUUUAACAUUUAAAAAAACAAACAAACAACGUAAUGGUCCCAAGAUCAUUCAACCAUUUUAUGCUUUAUCAUAAUACUGAAGCCAAGCAUGAGAGGUAGGUGCACACAGUACACAAGAGGGCACGGCAGGUGGAUUUCCAUAAAUUUAAAGUCACACUGGAGUUUCCACCUAGCCAGAGCUAUCUCAAAAAUAAACAAAUAGACAGGAAGUACGGAGGUGGCUCAGUGAGUAAAUGCUUGCUAUGCAAAUGUGAGGGAGUGAACUUGGAUUCCAGCACGUGUAAAAUCUAGAUGCGGCAGCACACCCCUGUGGGUCCUGGGACUCACUGGCCAGCUAGGCUAUCUGAACCACUGAGCUACAGGUUCAGUGAGAGCCUGUGUUUU